GACGAACGCUGGCGGCGUGCUUAACACAUGCAAGUCGAACGGAAAGGCCCUGCUUUUGUGGGGUGCUCGAGUGGCGAACGGGUGAGUAACACGUGAGUAACCUGCCCUUGACUUUGGGAUAACUUCAGGAAACUGGGGCUAAUACCGGAUAGGAGCUCCUGCUGCAUGGUGGGGGUUGGAAAGUUUCGGCGGUUGGGGAUGGACUCGCGGCUUAUCAGCUUGUUGGUGGGGUAGUGGCUUACCAAGGCUGUGACGGGUAGCCGGCCUGAGAGGGUGACCGGCCACAUUGGGCCUGAGAUACGGCCCAGACUCCUACGGGAGGCAGCAGUGGGGAAUAUUGCACAAUGGGCGGAAGCCUGAUGCAGCAACGCCGCGUGCGGGAUGACGGCCUUCGGGUUGUAAACCGCUUUCGCCUGUGACGAAGCGCGAGUGACGGUAAUGGGUAAAGAAGCACCGGCUAACUACGUG
rnacentral:rRNA from 1 species